rnacentral:rRNA from 1 species
CAGCAGCCGCGGGAAUACAGAGGGUGCAAGCGUUAAUCGGAAUUACUGGGCGUAAAGCGCGCGUAGGUGGUUUGUUAAGUUGGAUGUGAAAUCCCCGGGCUCAACCUGGGAACUGCAUCCAAAACUGGCAAGCUAGAGUAUGGUAGAGGGUGGUGGAAUUUCCUGUGUAGCGGUGAAAUGCGUAGAUAUAGGAAGGAACACCAGUGGCGAAGGCGACCACAUGGACUGAUACUGACACUGAGGUGCGAAAGCGUGGGGAGCAAACAGGAUUAGAUACCCCCGUAGUCCCUGUCUCUUAUAC